rnacentral:rRNA from 1 species
UGGGGAAUAUUGGACAAUGGGCGCAAGCCUGAUCCAGCCAUGCCGCGUGAGUGAUGAAGGCCCUAGGGUUGUAAAGCUCUUUCACCGGUGAAGAUAAUGACGGUAACCGGAGAAGAAGCCCCGGCUAACUUCGUGCCAGCAGCCGCGGUAAUACGAAGGGGGCUAGCGUUGUUCGGAUUUACUGGGCGUAAAGCGCACGUAGGCGGACUAUUAAGUCAGGGGUGAAAUCCCGGGGCUCAACCCCGGAACUGCCUUUGAUACUGGUAGUCGUGAGUUCGAGAGAGGUGAGUGGAAUUCCGAGUGUAGAGGUGAAAUUCGUAGAUAUUCGGAGAAACACCAGUGGCGAAGGCGGCUCACUGGCUAGAUACUGACGCUGAGGUGCGAAAGCGUGGGGAGCAAACAGG